GUUGACCUCUCUCUGGACCUGCUGCUCUGCUCUGCCCGGUCUGUGUGCGAGCAGCGUCGCCUGCUGGUCGGAGCCGGAAUCGCAGCCCCGCUGCAGCAUCCGCCGCCUGCCGCAGUUCUCUGUCCCUGCUCGGUCCUGGUCUGAGCAUCACACCGUUUACACCGAGCGUGGAGGUGCGAGAGCGGGCGAGAGACGGUGUUUAGGCUGAGGGACCUGGACUGUGCCAUAAAGAUUCGGUGUGAACAUCAGUCAUCUCCAGACGUCCUGGGAGGUGUGGAUAAGGGUCAUCCGCUGGCCCAGGGGUGCGAUUGCAGCGCACCGGAGGGACGGUAAGUGAGUGGUCCCAGGACCCUGGAAAUCCCAAGGCUUGAAAUCAAACCUCGUCGUACUCAGACUGAUGCCAGCACUGCAGACUGAGACGGAACAUGAAAAUAUCACCGACAUGCUGCUGGAUACUUUAUAACAUCUGGAAAAGAAUUGUGCAGUUUGAGGGGUUUCCUGUUUACUUAGCCUCUUUGUUGAGCCUCUCAAAUUACACGUUUGGGUCUUUAAAUCAGAGAUCAUCUCUGUUUACUACACUGUAUAACAGCCACACAUAUUCAAGGGUCUGCCUGUCCCAACAGUGAGCAGUGAUUAUAUUGUGAGAAAUAUUCAGCCACCAUGUUUUUAUGGCUGCAUGAUUCCAUUCUGUGCAAAUGUUUCGUGCAACAUUUUAUUCAGUUCUACCUAAAUCUCAGUGGGUCAGUCAUUAGCAACUCGUACUGCGCAGCCAGAUAUUCUUCAAACCCUCUAAGUAUCAUUUCAAAUCCUAGUGGAGAAAUUUGGCAAAAGAUACCAAGUGUGUCAUUCUGAAUUUGGGGGAAACUUGUUUAAAAAUAUUUAUGCAAUAUUUCCAUUUAAUCAAAUUGUGCAGCCAUUUAAAAAACUAAAAAUUCAGGCUCACCAUAAUGUUAAUUUGCAGCUGUUUUGGCACUUUCUGUCAUAACACAUGGUCGUCACCAGCAGAUGGAGUCUGCCCACGUGUGAUGGAGCUAUAGAUGUUCAAAUGUCACUCUUCUUGGAUAUAAAUAUUUCACUCAGAACAAGCAGAAUGUUAAUGUACUGAGAGCUGGAACAGGCCUAUGCGGAAUAUACAAGGUGAUACCAUCAAAGACCUAAAACUGUGGGACCUGUGAGGGGAUCACAUUGGGGAAAUUAGUAUAAAAUAAUGUGGAAGACAUCUGAGGUGUAUAGCAUUGGUAGAAUUUAAAAUAAAAAUCAAGAUUUUAAGAAGUUAACCUUGUGUAAAAUGUACCACAUGUCAGAUAUUAACAUCUGGCUGCAGAACACCAGCAUCUCAUCCCAGCUAAUCUGACAAAUGUAUAUUUUCUCAACUCCUAAAGUCUUGGUUUUCUCCCUAAGUCUUCCCUUACAUUUUUUAAAUUAGUAUCUUACAGUAUUUCCACACUGACAGUAUCACACAUAUGUUGUGCAUCUGCUUGUUCCAGAGUGAAAGUCGAAGCCUGGAGGUGUUUCCUCCGAACUAAGCCUGACAUAUGCAAUACUUUCAGAAACAACUUUAGAAUUUAAAAUGCAGUUCGGUUUUUGUAAAGUGUGUAUAUUGUUCCCAAGCUGGAACCAGAGAAUGUUUGGUGAGUAAAAUUUAAAAACAUUAAUCAGUCGUCCAAAUUGUUGUUAAUUCUUUUUCUAUCAUUUCAGCUCUGCCUGGUUGCACAACAAGUGAUGAGGUAAAAGGCUGAAUGUGUUCUCUCUGCACCAGAGCUCCACAUUCAUGCCAAAUACCUCACCUUUACAAAACACUUGUUCAAAUAAAAGGCUGCACUACGUGUGCUGGUGAUUGUGUAAAAUACAGAUGCAGAUUGAAUAAAAAA